UACGUAGGUGGCAAGCGUUGUCCGGAUUUACUGGGCGUAAAGGGCGUGCAGGCGGUCUGUUAAGUCUAGGGUGAAAGCUCCCGGCUCAACUGGGAGAGGUCCUUGGAUACUGGCGGACUUGAGGGAGGUAGAGGAAAGUGGAAUUCCCGGUGUAGUGGUGAAAUGCGCAGAUAUCAGGAGGAACCCCAGAGGCGAAGGCGGCGUCCUGGCUCGCAUCUGACGCUCAGACACGACAGCAUGGGGAGCGAACGGG
rnacentral:rRNA from 1 species